rnacentral:rRNA from 1 species
UACGUAGGGCGCAAGCGUUGUCCGGAAUUAUUGGGCGUAAAGAGCUCGUAGGUGGUUUGUUACGUCUGCUGUGAAAACCUAGGGCUUAACCCUGGGCCUGCAGUGGAUACGGGCAGACUAGAGGUAGGUAGGGGAGAAUGGAAUUCCCGGUGUAGCGGUGAAAUGCGCAGAUAUCGGGAGGAACACCGGUGGCGAAGGCGGUUCUCUGGGCCGUAACUGACACUGAGGAGCGAAAGCGUGGGGAGCGAACAGG